rnacentral:rRNA from 1 species
GAUGAACGCUGGCGGCGUGCCUAAUACAUGCAAGUCGAACGAAACUUCUUUAUCACCGAGUGCUUGCACUCACCGAUAAAGAGUUGAGUGGCGAACGGGUGAGUAACACGUGGGCAACCUGCCCAAAAGAGGGGGAUAACACUUGGAAACAGGUGCUAAUACCGCAUAACCAUAGUUACCGCAUGGUAACUAUGUAAAAGGUGGCUAUACUACCGCUUUUGGAUGGGCCCGCGGCGCAUUAGCUAGUUGGUAGGGUAAAGGCUUACCAAGGCAAUGAUGCGUAGCCGAAUUGAGAGGUUGAUCGGCCACAUUGGGACUGAGACACGGCCCAAACUCCUACGGGAGGCAGCAGUAGGGAAUCUUCCACAAUGGGCGAAAGCCUGAUGGAGCAACGCCGCGUGGGUGAAGGAGGUCUUCGGAUCGUAAAACCCUGUUGUUAGAGAAGAAAGUGCGUGAGAGUAACUGUUCACGUUUCGACGGUAUCUAACCAGAAAGCCACGGCUAACUACGUG